UGCCAGCCGCCGCGGUAAUACGGAGGGUGCGAGCGUUAAUCGGAAUAACUGGGCGUAAAGGGCACGCAGGCGGAUGGAUAAGUGAGAUGUGAAAGCCCUGGGCUUAACCUGGGAACUGCAUUUCAGACUGUUCAUCUAGAGUUUUGUAGAGAGGGGUAGAAUUCCACGUGUAGCGGUGAAAUGCGUGGAGAUGUGGAGGAAUACCGGAGGCGAAGGCGGCCCCUUGGACAAGAACUGACGCCUCAUAUGCCAAAGCGCGGGCAGCAAACAGGGUUAGCUA
rnacentral:rRNA from 1 species